rnacentral:rRNA from 1 species
AGGCCACUGCUAUCAGAGUUCGAUUAAGCCAUGCGAGUCGAGAGGUGCAAGACCUCGGCAUACUGCUCAGUAACACGUGGACAACCUAACCUACGGAAGGGGAUAACCCCGGGAAACUGGGGAUAAUACCCUAUAGACUAUGGAUGCUGGAAUGCUCUGUAGCCGAAAGGUCAGCCGCCGUAGGAUGGGUCUGCGGCCGAUUAGGUUGUUGUUGGGGUAACGGCCCAACAAGCCUGUAAUCGGUACGGGUUGUGGGAGCAAGAGCCCGGAGAUGGAUUCUGAGACACGAAUCCAGGCCCUACGGGGCGCAGCAGGCGCGAAAACUUUGCAAUGCGGGAAACCGUGACAAGGGAACUCUGAGUGCCCGUAAAAUCGGGCUGUCCAUCGGUUUAAAUAACCGGUGAAGAAAGGGCCGGGCAAGACCGGUGCCAGCCGCCGCGGUAAUACCGGCGGCUCGAGUGGUGGCCACUAUUACUGGGCUUAAAGCGUUCGUAGCUGGUUUGUUAAGUCUCUGGGGAAAUCUUCCGGCUUAACCGGAAGGCGUCUCAGGGAUACUGGCAGACUAGGGACCGGGAGAGGUGAGAGGUACUCCAGGGGUAGGAGUGAAAUCCUGUAAUCCUUGGGGGACCACCUGUGGCGAAGGCGUCUCACCAGAACGGCUCCGACAGUGAGGGACGAAAGCUGGGGGAGCAAACCGGAUUAGAUACCCGGGUAGUCCCAGCCGUAAACGAUGUGCGUUAGGUGUAUCGGUGACCACGAGUCACCGAGGUGCCGAAGAGAAAUCGUGAAACGUACCGCCUGGGAAGUACGGUCGCAAGGCUGAAACUUAAAGGAAU